CUCUCAUGUAUGCAUAAUCAAUGUCAUAAUUUUCUAAUCCUCCAAUUUAAUAUUAAUUAAGAUCAAAAGAGAUACUGACAGCCUAAAAAUAGGCCCUUUAGUCUUAAGAAAAAUCGAUCUUAAUCUUUCAUCAAAUAAAUCAUCAAUCACAACAUGCAAAGAUAGCCCGAACAACGUGAAAUAUAACAAACAUGUUUCAUUUUUGAGCUUAGGGGAUUACAAUGGAAACACACUAUUCUAUGCAAGAUGUGUUAACUUCACGACUGGUACUAUUACAAUAUGAUUUUGAACAUAAUUGAAAAUUGUAAUUACACCAAGCUAUUGCAAAAUCUUUUAAUUGAAGUGGGUAACACAGGCAAUCACGGACACUUGAAACUAUCACUUAUAAAUUGACAUGCAACGCUUUCUAGCU
rnacentral:lncRNA from 1 species